rnacentral:rRNA from 1 species
GCUUGCUUCUCUUGAGAGCGGCGGACGGGUGAGUAAUGCCUAGGAAUCUGCCUGGUAGUGGGGGAUAACGUUCGGAAACGGACGCUAAUACCGCAUACGUCCUACGGGAGAAAGCAGGGGACCUUCGGGCCUUGCGCUAUCAGAUGAGCCUAGGUCGGAUUAGCUAGUUGGUGGGGUAAUGGCUCACCAAGGCGACGAUCCGUAACUGGUCUGAGAGGAUGAUCAGUCACACUGGAACUGAGACACGGUCCAGACUCCUACGGGAGGCAGCAGUGGGGAAUAUUGGACAAUGGGCGAAAGCCUGAUCCAGCCAUGCCGCGUGUGUGAAGAAGGUCUUCGGAUUGUAAAGCACUUUAAGUUGGGAGGAAGGGCCGUUACCUAAUACGUGAUGGUUUUGACGUUACCGACAGAAUAAGCACCGGCUAACUCUGUGCCAGCAGCCGCGGUAAUACAGAGGGUGCAAGCGUUAAUCGGAAUUACUGGGCGUAAAGCGCGCGUAGGUGGUUUGUUAAGUUGGAUGUGAAAUCCCCGGGCUCAACCUGGGAACUGCAUUCAAAACUGACUGACUAGAGUAUGGUAGAGGGUGGUGGAAUUUCCUGUGUAGCGGUGAAAUGCGUAGAUAUAGGAAGGAACACCAGUGGCGAAGGCGACCACCUGGACUGAUACUGACACUGAGGUGCGAAAGCGU